rnacentral:rRNA from 1 species
AUUGAACGCUGGCGGCAGGCCUAACACAUGCAAGUCGAACGAGUGGCGGACGGGUGAGUAAUGUCUGUGAAACUGCCCGAUGGAGUGGGAUAACUACUGGAAACGGUAGCUAAUACCGCAUACCAUCGGAUGUGCCCAGAUGGGAUUAGCUAGUAGGUGGGGUAACGGGUCACCUAGGCGACGAUCCCUAGCUGGCCUGAGAGGAUGACCAGCGACACUGUAACUGAGAAACGGUCCAGACUCCUACGGGAGGCAGCAGUGGGGAAUAUUGCACAAUGGGCUCAAGCCUGAUGCAGCCAUGCCGCGUGUAUGAAGAAGGCCUUCGGGUUGUAAAGUACUUUCAGCGAGGAGGCGUUACUCGCAGAAGAAGCACCGGCUAACUCAGUGCCAGCAGCCGCGGUAAUAC